rnacentral:rRNA from 1 species
GUCUUAUUGAUAAUUAUUUUAAGUCUAAUCUGCCCACUGAAAAUUUAAAUGGCCGCGGUAUUUUGACCGUGCAAAGGUAGCAUAAUCAUUAGUUUUUUAAUUGAAAGCUGGAAUGAAGGAUUGAAUGAAAAAAUAACUGUCUCUUUAUUAAUAUUUGAAAUUUAUUUUUAAGUUAAAAAGCUUAAAUUUUAUUAAAAGACGAGAAGACCCUAUAGAGUUUUAUUUAAUUUAAAUAUAUUAUAUUUGGUAUUAAUAAAUUUUUUGUUUAAAAAAAAUUAGAUUGGGGUGAUUAAAAAAUUUAAUAAACUUUUUUUUAUUAAGUUCAAUUAUUUUUGUAAAUUUGAUCCUUUUUAGAUUAUAAGAUUAAAUUACCUUAGGGAUAACAGCGUAAUUUUUUUUAAGAGUUCUUAUUGAAAAAAAAGUUUGCGACCUCGAUGUUGGAUUAAAAUUUAAGUUUGGUGUAGAAGCUAAAUAAUUAAGUCUGUUCGACUUUUAAAAUUUUACA